rnacentral:rRNA from 1 species
AUGGCAUCACCAGACGGAGCUUUGGACCCAUCAGUUAUUUCCGGGCACAUCAGUGGAAUUGAACAUCUCAAUGAAACUAAUUUUCCUUCCUGGAAGGAGCAUAUUCUGAAUGCCCUUGUGAUCAUGGACCUUGACUGUGCACUUAGAGAAAAGGCUCCUAUUCCUCCGCCUUCUGAUGAUGAAAGCCUUCUUGAGAAAAGUAAGGUUUAUGAGGCUAAUAUGGAGAAAUGGGAGCGCUCCAACCGCAUGGCUAUCAAGCUCAUGAAAAGCACAAUAAAUCAUGGGAUCAGGGGAGCAAUUCCUGACUUUGUGUGUGCUGAAACUUACCUGGCAUUAGUGGAGGAGCAAUUCAAAAACUCCUCAAAAGCACAUGCUAGCACGCUGAUCAUGGAAAUACUCACCACUAAGUAUGAUGGUGUAAGCGGCAUUAGAAGGCAUAUCAUAACUAUGAACGAUAUGGCCGCGAAAUUAGAGGGCAUCUGCAUUGAGAUUUUUGAGGGCCUUUUGGUAGACUUCAUUAUGAAUUCCCUUCCUGUGGAAUAUGGUCCAUUUAGGAUCAAUUAUAACACACGUAAGGAGAAGUGGACCAUGAGUGAGCUCAUACAUAUGUGUGUUCAAGAAGAAGAACAUCUCAUGGGCAUCUUAUGA